GCCGCCUGCUGCAGCGGCGUUAGGUGGAUGGUCACCUCCACUAUGAGGGGGUUUUUCAAGGCGGCCCUCCGCAUUCGACUGAGGCGUGGAUCCUUCGAAGCGGCCGGCAUGAGGCUCCACAGGAGCCCCAUGGGCCCCACGCCCGUGAAGUCGCCUCCUAGAGCCAGGUCCCCGGCCAGGUCCAGCCCCCCGCCGCUGUCCACCUCGUAGUGGGCAAGGGAGUGGAAGAGGCGGCCUCGGUGGCUGACGCCCGACACCUGCAGGGUCACCGGCUCCCCCGAGCCCAAGCCUUCUGCUUUCAUAUCCAGGCACUUGUCGGCCAGCCCAGUCUUGGGCGUGACGGUCAGGGUCGCGGCCUUUUGGGAGAAAAAGGACGAUGUGGAUAUCGGCCUCCAGGCCUGGAGGGGGACCCCAGAGGCUCGGAGCGCUGCCCGGACCGCCGGCCACAUGGUCCGGGACUGUCGCGGCUUUGACCUCCGCCAAGGUCGAGGCGGCCUGGCACUGGCGGCCGAGGUUCCGCGCUGAAGAGGAGGGAGGAGGGGGGCCCGGCCUGGCAGGUCGUGGCCCUGUGGGGCAAAACCCUGCAGGGCCACGUGAUGGGACCUGGGCUGGUCCCUGCGGCGCCACUUAGCAACGGGCUGCAAGAAGAGACGACUUCGGAGGGCCCAGGGUCCUUUGAGCUCCUAGAGGUCCCGUGUGGAACCAUCUGGAAGAGGUAGGAUCCCCUCGCGAGUUUACCCCGGACGUGUGGCGAAUAAAGUUAAGCAUUUUUAACGGUGAUCACCAGAACGCACCUUUGGAUGCUGCAGCAUAAAGUCCACGGCUUCUUCAAAGUACUCCAGAUGUACAUCAUUCAGAUCUUCGGGGAGGUCUUCAAAUCUGAAAUAAGCCAGGGCAAGCACAGCAAAACCAUGUCCGGCCAGGAGGCUGGCCCUGUAUUCACAAAGGCCCCUGCUGCUCCCAAACAGAUCAAUGAUCCCAGGAAAGGGCCCCCUGCCUGGAGAACAUCACAAAUCACAGGGAGCUUUAGUUUCUCAAAAGACAGUAAGCAAACAAGUUUUUGAAGCCAAGGAGAUUGGGGGUAGAGAGAUUGGCAGAGAAAGAACAAAAUGUCUUAUUUUCUCAAACAAUAAUGAUAAUAUAGAGGGAUAAAAAACUACAUAUUGGGUACAAUGUAUACUACUCAGGCGACAGGUGCACUAAAAUCUCAGCGUUCAUCACUGUACAGUUCAUCCGUGUAACCCCAAACCACCUGUACACCAAAAGGUAUUGAAAUUAAAAAAAAAAUUUUUUUUUGACAGUCUCACUCUGUCGCCCAGGCUGAAGUGCAGUGGUGCAAUCUCAGCUCACUGCAACCUCUGCCCCCUGGGUUCAAGCAAUUCUCCUGCCUCAGCCCCCCAAGUAUCUGGAAUUACAGACAUGCAACAGACACCCGGCUAAUUUUUUUUGUAUUUUUAGUAGAGACUGGGUUUUGCCAUGUUGGCCAGGCUGGUCUUGAACUCCUGACCUCAGGUGAUCUGCCCACCUUGGCCUCCCAAAGUGCUGCGAUUACAGGUGUGAGCCACCGCAACCGGCCUAAAACUUUUUAAUGAUAUAAAUUAUUGUCACACCACUGCACUCCAGCCUGGGUGACAGAGUGAGACUCUAUCUCAAAAAUAAUAAUAAUAAUAAUAUUAUUUUCACAAACAAAAAUAAACCAAGUUAGAAAUAACAUAAUGAGGCCAGGUGUGGUGGUUCAUGCCUAUAAUCCCAGUGCUUUGGGAGGUCAAGAUAAGAGGACCACUUGAGGCCAGGAAUUCACGACCAGCCUGGGCAACAUAACAAGACCCAUCUCUACAAAAAAGUUUAAAAAACUAGCUGGGCAUGAUGGCACUUGCCUAUAGUCUUAGCUACUCAGGAGGAAGAGGCGGGAGGAUCAUCUGAGCCCAAGAGUUCCAGUUUGUGGUGACCUGUGAUCACACCACUGCACUGUAGCCUGUAGAUCACUGUAACCUUGAAUCCUUGGGCUCAAGUGACCCUCCAGCCUCAAGAAGCCACCCUCCCAAGUAGCUAGGCCCCUAUGCUUGGCUAAUUUUUAACUUUUUAUAGAAAUAGGGUCUCACUAUGCUGCCUGGGCUAGUCUCAAACUCCUGGCCUCAAGCAAUCCUCCCACUGCAAUGCUCCCACCUCGGCCUCUUCAAGUGCUGGGAUUUUAAGUGCGAGCCACUGCACUCAGCCUGUUUGUUUGUUUGUUUGUUUGUUUGUUUGUUUGUUGAGACAAGGUUUCACUCUUGUUGCCCAGGCUGCAGUGCAAUGGUGCGAUCUCGGCUCACUGCAACCUCCGUCUCCCCCCGGGUUCAAGCGAUUCUCCUGCCUCAGCCUCCCGAGUAGUUGGUAUUACAGGCAUGUGCCACCACACCUGGCUAAUUUUGUAUUUUUAGUAGAGAUGGGGUUUCACCAUGUUGGUGAGGCUGGUCUCAAACUCCUGACCUCAGAUGAUCCGCCCACCUUGGCCUCCCGAAGUGUUGGGAUUACAGGCGUAAGCCACUGCGCCCAGUCUUGUUUUUUUUUUCGUUGUUGCUGGUUUUUUUUGUUUUUUGUUUUUUUUUUUUUUUUUUUAUCAGACAGAGUCUCUCUCUGUUGCCCAGGCUGGAGUGAUGUGGUGUGAUUUUGGCUCACUGCAACCUCCACCUGCCGGGUUCAAGCAAUUCUCCUGCCUCAGCCUCCUGAGUAGCUGGGAUUACAGGCGCCCGCCACCAUGCCCGGCUAAUUUUUUGUAUUUUUAGUAGAGACAGGGUUUCACCAUCUUGGCCAGGCUGGUCUUGAACUCCUGACCUCGUGAUCCACCCACCUUGGCCUCCCAAAGUGCCGGGAUUAGAGGCGUGAGCCACCGCGCCUGGCCGCCUUGUUUUUUUUUUUGAGAUGGAGUCUUGCUCUGUCCUCCAGGCUGGAGUGCAACGGUGCGAUCUUGGCUCACUGCAACCUCUGCCCCCUGGGUUCAAGAGAUUCUCCUGCCUCAGCCUCCUGAGAUUACAGGCACCCACCACCAUGCCCGGCUAACUUUUGUAUUUUUAGUAGAGACGGGGUUUCACCAUGUUGGUCAGGCUGGUCUCGAACUCCUGACCUCAGGUGAUCCACCUGCCUCGGCCUCCCAAAGUGCUGGGAUUACAGGCGUGAGCCACUGCGCCCGGCUCCUUGUUUGUUUUUAAUGAAAGGUUUUAGUUGAUUCUUAGUCAGUGUGAUUUUUUUUUUUUUUUUUUUGAGACAGGGUCUCGCUCUGUCGCCCAGGCUGAAGUGUAGUGGCGCAAUCUUGGCUCACUGCAACCUCAGCCUCCCGGGUUCAAGCGAUUCUCCCACCUCAGCCUCCCUAGUAGCUGGGACUACAUGUGUGAGCCACUAUGCCUGGCUAAUUUUUUUGUAUUAUAUAAUUAGUAGAGGUAGGGUUUUGCCAUGUUGGCCAGGCUAGUCUUGAACUCCUGGCCUCAAGUGAUCCACCCACCUCAGCCUCCCAAAGUGCUAGGAUUACAGGUGUGAGCCACUGCGCCUGGCCCAGUCAGUAUGAUUUAUUGAGCUCCUACUAUAUCCUUGCGAAAGCCUCUAGGAACAUGGAUAUUUAGAAAUCUGUAAGACCCAAUUCCAGCCCCAGGAAUUCACAGUACAGUGGGCAGCCACGAGUUAAGGCUAAGAAUUGCUGAAGAGCUGUAAAAAUAAAGCAAGUUUUCUUGUUUUGGAGAAUAAUCACAGAAUUCGGUUUAAGGAUUCUAUGUGCUGUUGCAACUCUAGAAUUUGUUGUUGUUGUUGUUGUUUGAGGCAGGGUUUCACUCUGUUGUCCAGGCUGGAAUGCAGUGGCGUGAUCUCAGCUCACUGCAACCUCUACUUCCUGAUAUCAAACAAUCCUCCCACCUCAGCCUCCCAAGCAGCUGGGACUACAGGCAUGCACCACCAUGCCUGCCUAAUUUUUUUUUUUUUUUUUUUUUUUUUGUAGAGACAGAGUUUCACCAUGUUGCCCAGGCUGGUCUUGAACUCCUGGGCUCAAGUGAUCUGCCCACCUCAGCCUCCCAAAGUGCUGGGAUUACAGGCCUGAGCCACUGUGCCCGGCUCAUCAUUUUUAUAUGGUAGAGGUUUAAGUCAGGAAUUUAGUUAGAAGGGAUUAAUCAGGAGUCUUCUUUCUGGGCUACCUUUACCUAGCAAACAUCCUGUGUUUACUUAGACUAGGGUUCCUCAACCUCAGUAGUACAGACAUUUUCAGCAAGAUAAUUCUUUGUUCUGGUGGUUGUCCUGUGCAUUGUGGAAUGUUUAGCAGCAUCUCUGGCCUCUGCCUGCUAGAUGCCAAUAGCACCUCUCCCUUCAGAUAUGACAACCACAAAUGUCUCCAGAUAUUGCCAAAUUUCCCCCAGGGAGGGCGGCUAAUCAUUGCAGGUUGAGAACCACGUACAGCAUGUUUAUGAUAGAAGGGAGAGGACUGUCAGGCAGUUUUGUGUGUGUUUUUAAACAAUUAAAGGGCAUUGCCAAUACUGUGGAUUUUAGCUUCUUUGGAAGUUUGAUGUGAAAGGAGGCAAAAAUCCUUCUUGCACAUCAGCUUAAGGUUUUGCCCAUAUCGUAUUCAAACAAAACCACAUGGCUGGCACAUAGUGGCUCUCAAUAAAUAUAUAAUAAGUUGAAUGCACUAUUCAGCACAUAGCUAAAGUGGUGGUGCCUCCAGGGAGGGACGUGAAACUUAAAAAGGAAAGACUGGAGUAGCUACUCAGGAGGCUGAGGCGAGAGGACUUGAGCCCAGGAGUUCGAGGCUGCAGUGUGAGCUACGAUCCAGCCACGGCACUCCAGCCUGGGCAACAGCGGACGCCCAGACUCAGAAUCCAUGACAGACUCUGGAGCGAAGGAACAAGUUCAGGGAUGUUCCACAAUCACGCGAUUCCCAGGACAGGAAAGGGGCCGGUGGGGGUCGCAGAGCUCGACCAAAUUCUGGGCAGACUACUCAUCCGGCGGCAGGAAGAGCGCGGCGCGCACCGGGCCCGCGCGCACCGGCUCGCGCCGCACCCCCGGCCGGAGAAAGUCGCGCUUGUUCUGCGCCAGGCACAGCAGCCGCCCGGGCUCGGUGUCGUGGCCGUCCAGCACUUCCAGCUCCACGGCGAAGGGCGUCCGCACGUCGCGCUUCACCAGCCGCACCAAGG
rnacentral:lncRNA from 1 species